ACAUGCACCAAGAUCGUCUGGGACUGAGGCACUCUUUGCUGAGACAUCUGCAACACAUGCAAGGUUAGAGGAAGAGAGGAAUGAAGGCCAUUAGUGGUGCAGAAGGACAUUGAAGAAUUCCUGCAGUUACAAAUUAUCUCCAAGAGACUGUUG